rnacentral:rRNA from 1 species
CCCUUAGAUGUUCUGGGCGGCCCGCGCACCACAAUGGCGUGUGCAGCGAGUGCCGAAGUAGAGUUUUCCGAGGUAUUCUUGCAAUGCUCGUUUUGAUGGGGAUAGACCCUUGCAACUGUUGGUUUUGAACGAGGAAUUCCUUGUAAGCAUGGUUUAUCAUCCGACGCUGAAUGCGUCCCUGCCCUUUGUACACACCGCCCGUCGCUCCUACCGAUGAGUCGUCCGGUGAAGUUCGUAGACCUCGUGAUCGCGGAUCACUGGGGGAAGCAAAAUGAACCUCGCGGUUUAGAGGAAGGAGAAGUCGUAACA